GAUGAACGCUGGCGGCGUGCCUAAUACAUGCAAGUCGAGCGAACGGACGAGAUGCUUGCUCUUCUGAUGUUAGCGGCGGACGGGUGAGUAACACGUGGAGAACCUGCCUAUGAGACGGGGAUAACUUCGGGAAACCAAAGCUAAUACCGGAUAAAAACUUUAACCGCAUGUUUCAUGAUUGAAAGACGGUCUUGCUGUCACUUAUGGAUAUAUCCCCUCUGCUUUAGCUAGUUGUUAAGGUAACGGCUUACCAAGGCAACGAUGCAUAGCCGACCUGAGAGGGGGACCGGCAACACUGGAACUGAGCACCGGUCAAGACUCUUCCGGGAGGAACAGGUAGGGAUCUUUGCGAAAUGGCCGAAGGCCGACCGGAGAAAGGCGGCGUGAGGGAGGAAGGUCUCCGGAUCGUAAACUUCUGUUAUAAGGGAAGACCAUAUGUGUAAGUAACUGCGCACCAAUUGACGGUACCUAACCAGAAAGCCACGGCUAACUACGUG
rnacentral:rRNA from 1 species